CCUCCAGUUCCGUCUGGAGUAGCCUAUGGGCACGUGCAAUAGUGAGUAAUCCAUUUGUGCGACAGCUGUCCAGACAAGGUAACCUUUCCUUUAAGGAGAAGACCGAACCGCAAGGGGACGUCAACGGCCGGUAACAUCAAUCGGCGCGAGGG
rnacentral:ncRNA from 1 species